CGGACGGGUGAGUAAUGUCUGGGAAACUGCCCGAUGGAGGAGGAUAACUACUGGAAACGGUAGCUAAUACCGCAUAACGUCGCAAGACCAAAGAGGGGGACCUUAGGGCCUCUUGCCAUCGGAUGUGCCCAGAUGGGAUUAGCUAGUAGGUGGGGUAAUGGCUCACCUAGGCGACGAUCCCUAGCUGGUCUGAGAGGAUGACCAGCCACACUGGAACUGAGACACGGUCCAG
rnacentral:rRNA from 1 species